AACGAACGCUGGCGGCAUGCCUAACACAUGCAAGUCGAACGAGACCUUCGGGUCUAGUUGCGCACGGGUGCGUAACGCGUGGGAACCUGCCCUUAGGUUCGGAAUAACUCCCCGAAAGGGGUGCUAAUACCGGAUAAUGUCUUCGGACCAAAGAUUUAUCGCCUUUGGAUGGGCCCGCGUUGGAUUAGCUAGUUGGUAGGGUAAAAGCCUACCAAGGCGACGAUCCAUAGCUGGUCUGAGAGGAUGAUCAGCCACACUGGGACUGAGACACGGCCCAGACUCCUACGGGAGGCAGCAGUGGGGAAUAUUGGACAAUGGGCGAAAGCCUGAUCCAGCAAUGCCGCGUGAGUGAAGAAGGCCUUAGGGUUGUAAAGCUCUUUUACCCGGGAUGAUAAUGACAGUACCGGGAGAAUAAGCUCCGGCUAACUCCGUG
rnacentral:rRNA from 1 species